AUUGAACGCUGGCGGCAUGCCUUACACAUGCAAGUCGAACGGCAGCACGGGAGCAAUCCUGGUGGCGAGUGGCGAACGGGUGAGUAAUAUAUCGGAACGUGCCCAGUAGUGGGGGAUAGCCCGGCGAAAGCCGGAUUAAUACCGCAUGAGACCUGAGGGUGAAAGCGGGGGAUCGCAAGACCUCGCGCUAUUGGAGCGGCCGAUAUCAGAUUAGCUAGUUGGUGGGGUAAAGGCCUACCAAGGCAACGAUCUGUAGUUGGUCUGAGAGGACGACCAGCCACACUGGGACUGAGACACGGCCCAGACUCCUACGGGAGGCAGCAGUGGGGAAUAUUGCGCAAUGGCCGCAAGGCUGACGCAGCGACGCCGCGUGGGGGAUGAAGCAUUUCGGUGUGUAAACCCCUGUUGCUCGGGACGAACAACCCUUUUCGAGGGGUCUGACGGUACCGGGUGAGGAAGCACCGGCUAACUCCGUGCCAGCAGCCGC
rnacentral:rRNA from 1 species